UGGGGAAUAUUGCACAAUGGGGGAAACCCUGAUGCAGCGACGCCGCGUGAAGGAUGAAGUAUUUCGGUAUGUAAACUUCUAUCAGCAGGGAAGAAAAUGACGGUACCUGACUAAGAAGCCCCGGCUAACUACGUGCCAGCAGCCGCGGUAAUACGUAGGGGGCAAGCGUUAUCCGGAUUUACUGGGUGUAAAGGGAGCGUAGACGGUUGUGUAAGUCAGAUGUGAAAGCCCGGGGCUCAACCCCGGGACUGCAUUUGAAACUGCGCGACUAGAGUGUUGGAGAGGUAAGUGGAAUUCCUAGUGUAGCGGUGAAAUGCGUAGAUAUUAGGAGGAACACCAGUGGCGAAGGC
rnacentral:rRNA from 1 species